rnacentral:rRNA from 1 species
UACGAAGGGGGCUAGCGUUGCUCGGAUUGACUGGGCGUAAAGGGCGCGUAGGCGGUUCGUACAGUCAGACGUGAAAUUCCUGGGCUCAACCUGGGGGCUGCGUUUGAUACGUGCGGACUUGAGUGCGGAAGAGGGUCGUGGAAUUCCCAGUGUAGAGGUGAAAUUCGUAGAUAUUGGGAAGAACACCGGUGGCGAAGGCGGCAACCUGGUCCUUGACUGACGCUGAGGCGCGAAAGCGUGGGGAGCAAACAGG